GUUGAUAAUGUUGAAAAGAGUUUUAAAAAAGUUAGAUUAAUUUAUUUCUUUAGCCUUUCAACUUCACUUCCACUUCUUCCACUAGCCUUUCAAAUUCUGCUACUUUGCUGAAGACAAUAUUCAAAAAUAAAAAACGUCAUAGCAAUCAAUCGAUUCUAUUGGUUAGUAGGCAUACAUAGCUAAAUGACAAUGUUUGGGUAUUUCCACGCGUAAAGACCGCGUGGAAUCAGCAAUGCAGUGAAGUUACUGUUUCAGCUACUAUGAGCUACUUUAAGCCACUGAAUAGAAGCAGAAACCGCAAAAAAAUAGAAUAUAAAAUACCAAAUGAUGGUAUGGAUGCUGUGGUUGUAAUUGUAACGCGGAAUUUGUUCAAAAAUAUAAAUACGAAUACUUUAUACAUUUUUUUCGAAUUGUUAAGAUGGAGAUUUAUUAUUUACAACGAAUCUGUUCAGGAUCAUAUGGCAUCCAGAUGUUGCGUUUAUUGUUAAAUUUUAUCACAAUUCUGUAAAUUAAUUUUAUUAUAGUGGUUAACGAAGGUUUCUCACACACUGUUAGCACCUGGAAUUCUAGAACCUUCUAGAAUUUGCGUAAGAUUUACCACCAUUAUGCCUAGUCGUUUUUUAUCUAUAUUUUUUUUUUUAGAAUUAUAAAAGUGCUAAAAAAUUCUAAUCUCUCAGAGAAAUGAACAGUAUUAAUACAUAUGCUGUAUUUUGCUGUUGUUAAUUUUUUUUCAAUAAUCUUUAUUUUAUUUUAAAUGGCAAUAGGGAUUAACGAACGUUUGUCACAGGAGCG
rnacentral:lncRNA from 1 species